rnacentral:lncRNA from 1 species
UUGACUCACUGGAAAUCUGACAAACUUUCAGAAAUUUGAGCUUCACUCAAAUCCUCUGAUUGAGUUUUUGCACAUCCGUUUGGAGAUUAUUAUUUUGGACAAUUUUAAAUCAAUUCUUUUUGCUAAGGUUCCUAAUCUGGAGAUAAUUCUUUUGGAUCAUUCAUCAUCAAGAUUCAAGAAUUCCAAGACUUUGAAAGCAAGAAGAGUUAACUACAAGAGAAUCAUGAAAUUGACAAAUCGUCGAAACUUUCCUAUACACGGGUUUGGGAGCAGAAACAUUUAGAGAAUUUGGAAGUCCACACAUCCCCGACUGUGAUCCAGGUUCUAUCUUUCCUAAAUUGUAUUGGCACACAUAUAUUUACUGUUGCCUUGCCAACAAUUUUGAUUGAAUUGAUUGCUUUUUUUAUCUUCACUACUAGUGUUUUAAGAUUAAGGUUUCAUCUAUUCAUUUCAAUUCUAUGUUUCCAUAAGGGUAGACUCGUAACGUGGUUGUUAUUGGUUCUUAGUAGUAGUGUUUACCUAAUACCUUUUGCUUAUAGUUGCAAUAGUGAACGAUGUGAAAGUAAGGUCAUGUCCUCGGGUAGGGCUGGGGGUGGGAUCCAGGGGUGGGAAGGGGGUAUGAAAGCAUCUUGACUGAGAUUUGGGUCUUGGAACAUUGGUACAUUGAUGGGGAAGUCUAUAGAGUUAGGUAAGAUUCUUCAGAAGAGGAAGAUUAUCAUAGCGUGUGUUCAGGAGACUAGACGGAAGGGUACUGGCGCACGAGAUGUAGACGGGUUUAAACUAUGGUACUCAAGGGCGCUGGGAUAAGAACGGGGUUGGCAUUUUAGUUGAUAGGGACCUUAGGGAGCUCGCGGUUGAGGUUAGGAGGGUAAAUGAUAGGUUGAUGAGUAUUAAGCUGGUAGUUGUAGGUUACUGUAAAUAUGAUUAGUGCAUAUGCUCCUCAGGUAGGUUUGGACCAGGAUGUUAGGAAGCAAUUCUGGGAGGAUUUGGAUGAGAUGGUGCGUAGUAUCCCACCAGAGAAGUUGUUUAUUGGUAGAGAUUUCAAAGGUCAUAUUGGGGCUAGUGCUAGGGGUAAUAAUGAUAUACAUGGCGGGAAUGGUUUUGGGGAUAGAAAUGAGGGAGGUAAUUCUCUGUUGGAUUUUUCUAGAGCUUUUUACAUGGUUAUGGCUAACUCGAGUUUUCAUAGAAGGAGAAGUACCUGGUCACUUUUCGUAGUUCAAUGGGCAAGACCCAGAUUGAUUAUCUUCUAUGCAGGAAAUGCGAUAAAGGUUUGUGCAGUGACUGCAAGGUCAUCCCAAGUGAGGACCUCACAACUCUUCAUAGGCUUCUAGUUAUGAACCAGGAGAUCAAGAGGAGUUGGAGGAAGAGGGUGUGGCGCAGGGAACCUAAUAUCAAUUGGGGUAACUUCACCAAGGAAAAAUCUCAGGAGAUAGGGGAGAAGUUGUUGGCAAUGAGGGCCUGGAUGAGAAGAGGGUGUAUCUAGUAUGUAGUUUACGGCCGCGAAUUAUACAUUAUCUUCCUGUCGUAACUGCUACCUGCUUAUUGGUGCUUCCAUAUUCAAUGUCUUCUUGUUAGAUGGUGUAUCUUUAUUGAAGGUAUCAAUUUUUCCGUAGUUCAUUGUGUCACAUUAUUGGUUUAGGUUAGUUUAUUGGUGUUUCAUGCAUGGUACAUUUUAUUUGGUCUCGUUGUGUACAUAAUUGAUAAAGUCUCAUAAUUGUAUAACUUCCCGUUUGUUUUGUGUUAAAGGCAUAUGUGAAGGGAUUUGAGCCAAAUUAUAAAAUAGUUAUUCUAAUUGUGUUAUUGGUAUUGAUAUGGUGGGAUCCGAUUGAAUACCGCAACAUUAGGAAUAAGGGUGGCUAGAGAGGUCUUAGAAGUCACGAAGGGCUCUUCUAGGGGUCAUAAAGAGGACUGGAGGUGGAAUGGAGAGGUUCAAGAUAAAGUGGAAGCUAAAAAGGUUGCUUAUUUGAAGGUAGUGGAGAGUACAAACGACGAGGAAAAAAGGACUUAUCGGGAAAGUUACAGAAAGGCAAAGAAAGAGGCGAAGUUAGCAGUUACGACGGCUAAAAACACGAUGUUUGCUCAUUUGUACGAGGAGUUCGAGGUCAAAGGAGGGGACAAGAGGUUGUACCGGUUGGCAAAGGUGAGGGAGAGGAAAGCCCGCGAAUACACCAAGUCAAGUGCAUGAAGGACGAGGAUGGCAAAAUGUUGAUAGACGACGAACUUUUUAGGAGAAGAUGGCAGUUAUACUUCCAUAUAUUGUUCAAUGGGGAGGGGGAUAGACUCAUUUUGCUGGAAGCAUUGUAGAACUUCGAGAGUCGGUGGGAUUUUAGGGUAUUGUAGGUUGAUUAUGGAAGAGGAGGUGGAAGGGGCGAUGCAUACGAUGUCUAGGGGCAUAGCUAUGGGGCCAAACAAUGUUUCGAUGGAAUUUUGGAAAAGCAUAGGGUGAUCUGGUUUGGAGUGGCUAACUGAGCUAUUUAAUGUUAUUUUUAAGAUAAAGAAAAUUCCCGAAGAGUGGAGGUAGAGUACGAUGGUUUCGUUUUAUAAGAACAAGGGUGAUAUCUAAAAUUACAACAAUUAUACGGUAAUCCAGUUGUUCAGUCACACUAUGAAGGUUUAUGUGAGGGUGGUGGAGGCAAGGGUGAGGAGGUACAUGUCUAAUUCUGAGAAUCAUUUUGGAUUCAUGCCGGGGCAUUCGACUACGGCAGUGAUUCAUCUAGUAAGGAGAUUAGUGGAGCAGUACAUAGGGAAGAAGAAUGAUUUGCAUAUAGUGUUUAUUGUCCUUAAGAAAACAUACGAUAAAGUAUCGAGGGAGGUCUUAUGGAAUUGUUUGGAGGUUAGUGGCAUUCAAGUAGUGUACCUUCGGGUGAUUAAGGAUAUGUACGAUCAUGCUAAGUCUCGGGUGAGGACAAUGGGAGAUGACUCGGAGCAAUUCUCUAUGGUGAUGGGGUUGCACCAGGGAUCGACUCUUAGCCCAUUUUUAUUUUCUUUGGCGAUGGAUGUACUAUCGCGAAACAUCCAAUGGGAGGUGCCUUGGUGCAUACUAUCUACCGAUGAUAUAAUGUUGAUUGAUGAAACGCGUAGCGGAGUUCACGCGGGGUUAGAUGUUUCGAGACAAACCCUAGAGUCUAAAGGUCUCAAACUGACUAGAACCAAGACAGAAUACUUGGAAUGCAAAUGCAGUGACGGGGCCCAUGAUGCGGAUGUAGAGGUUAAGCUUCAUGCUCAAGUUAUCCUCAAGAGAGCGAUUUUUAAGUAUCUCGGGUCUGCUAUCCAAGGUAACGAGGAAAUUACAAAGAUGUCUCCCAUCAUAUCAGAGAGGGAUGGGUGAAGUGGAGGGCCGCUUCUGGUGUGUUUUAUAUGAUAGGAAUAUGCCGCAAAGACUUAAGGGUAAGUUUUAUCGAGCGGUGGUUUGACCGGCUAUGCUAUAUGUGGCUGAGUGUUGGCCAAUGAAGAACUCCCAUCUGCAGAAGAUAAGAGUAGCAGAGAUGAGGAUGUUAAGAUGAAUGUGUGGGUGUACCAUGAGAGAUAGGAUUUAUGAGUGAAUCUAUCCGAGACAAAGUGGGAGUAACCUCUAUGGACGACAAAAUGUGGGAGUUGAGGCUGAGAUGGUUCGAACAUGUUAAGAGAAGAAGCAUUGAUGCUCCUGUUAGGAGGUGUGAGAGAUUGGUUAUGAAGAGUUUGAUUAUAGGUCGAGGUAGGCCUAAGAAGUAUUGGGAAGAGGUGAUUAGAUAUGAUAUGGCGCUACUUUAGCUCACUGAGGACAUGACCCUUGAUAGGAGGGAAUGGAGGUCGAGGAUUAAGGUAGAAGGUUAGUAGGUAGUUUAUAGUUGUUCAUCGAUAGUCUUAGUAGCAUGUAUGUCCCUUCAUAUUCUUAUAUUUCUAUUAUAUUAUGUGGUUGUGUUUGCCUUAGGCAUUGUAUUCCCCGCUGCUAUUAUUUGGUAGUACUUAUCCCCUCCCCCAUUUCUUUUCUCUUCAUUCCUUACGUUCUACUUCUUCCGGUCCUUUCUAUGCCGAGGGACUAUUGGAACGCCCUCUCUAGAUGCAUUACGUAGUGGUAAGGUCUGCGUACAGAUUUCCCUCCCCAGAAACCAUAUGUUGGGAUUAAACUGGGUUUUUUGUUGUUUUUGUUGCUGGUGGUGGUGGUAGUGGGAUUGGGUUGCGCUCCGCAAUAGGAAUAAUAAGGUGGACAGGUGGGAUCUGCUUGCACACUGUAACAAGAGUAAUAAGGGUAAAUGUUCAUUAUGUCACUGAUGAUAUAGUGGGAUCGGAUGCAUGCCGCGUCAUUUUAUUGUUUAUAUAUUCUUCCUCUACUACGAUUUUAUUCUAUAAAAUUAGAACCCUCUUAAAGAUUGGUUAUAACUGAGCUCUUGCAAGAUAAUUGAGUUCUGUAUUUAUUUUACUACAAGUUACUAUUCCAUUUCAUUCCGUACUUCCUUUUGAUUUAUUAUAAAUUGUAUGCAAAUUAUAUUGCAAAAGACCCAACUUAGCCUCGUCACUACCUUGUCGGGGUUAGGCUCGACACUUACCAGUACAUGGGAUCGGUUGUAUUGAUACUGCACUCUGCACUUUCUGUGUUUAUUUUGGAGUUGGUCGGGGCUGAUCGAGAGGUCAGUUUUAGGCAUUCAUAUAGGAGACCCAAGGUAGUCUUACAAGCGUCUGCUGGCCCUGGCAUCCCCUCCUAUGUUCUACAUUCCUGUUUUAUUUUCUUUCGAGACAUAUACUUUUCUUUCAAAGAAAUACUUGUAGAUAUUCAUAGGAUGUUUGUGGGUUGUGACACCAGUUUUUGGGUGGUAAUAAUUUCAAAAUUUUUUGUAGUAUAUAGAUAACCGAUUUAUUAUGUACUUCCAUUUUUAUUUGUGUUGAUUUAGUUUUUUUUUUAAAUUUUAAUUAUAAAUAUAAAGGAAAAAGGUGAAUAUAGCUCUAACAUUGGCUUGCCUAGCGAGUGCAACAUUCGGCGCCAUCACAAUCCUUACGGUGGAAAAUUUGGGUCGUGACAGUUACGCAAUACACUUACCUUUUUUGGUAAUUAAAUGAUUUUAUUUACCAAUAGCAAAUAUGUACAAAUUCUAUCUGGAACAUGACAUUCCAAGUUCCAUUCCUUCUUCAACAUUUCUUCUAUGUUCCUUUAUUGUAGGUAAUCUAUUUCUGCUAUUCUCUUUUCUAUCUUACUAUUCAUCGAUCCUCUUACUGUUACCUCUAGUACAAUUUGCCUCACUAUCAUUUCCACUGUUUUCUGAUGACCUUGGAAUACUCUUCUGUUCCUUUCAUUCCAUAUGUGGUACAUUGCACAUGCCAGAAUCAAUCUAUUGACUUGAGCUGGUGAAUUGUUUUUAGUUGCUUUCCUUUCAGCCCAUUAUAUCUCCCUUUGCCAUUCCAUCAGUGCUCUUAGUAUUUCUUGCAAGUGUAGAAACUUGCUCCAUAUAUCUCUAGCAAUUCUACAUUUAAACACCAGAUGAUCAGUAGUCUCUUCUACUUCAGUACAUAAAGGAUUGCUUACUUCAUCUGCAAUCCCCCAUAUGUGUUGUCUGCUUCUUGUAAGGAACCUGUUUUGUAUAGCUAAAUUCAGUACAAAGAUCCACUUUGGAGCUCCUAGAUUGCUUCACGUUAGUCUCCUCCAUGACACCUUUUGAUAUUGCUUUCGCAUGCUAUUAUACCACUUCUUGAUAGAGAAGUAGCUCUAUUCUAUCACUUCCUUCAUGCUACCUCCUGCUUCUUUUAUGUAUCUCUUUGCUUUGAUUAUUUUUUGAAUUAUCCAUGAUGCAUUCCUUGGUUUGCUAUCCCACACUUCUUGUUUCUUCUCAUAAUACAGAUCGAUCCAUUGGGACCCAUAGCUUGUUCUUCUUCUCUCAUAAGUUUUAUAAUAAUUUGCAAAUUGCAGCUUUAUUCCAUAUUUGAAUGUCCAUAGCACUAAAACCUCCUGCUGUCUUUGGUGAGCACACUUUUUCCCAUGAAAUCAAACCUUUUUUUAAAGCAUAUGUUCCUCAAGUCCACAAGAAUAUUCUGCAUAUUAUUUCUAUCCUCUUUAUUAUCUGCUUAGGGGUAAUAAAUAUCUGUGCCCGGUAGAUUUUUAUAGAGAAUAGAACUAUAUUGAUCAGUUGCAAUCUGCCUGUAUAAGAUAAGAACUUUGAAGUCUAUGAGGUGAUGCAGCCUAAUAUCUUUUCCAGUAGUGGUUGGCAUUGAAACAAAGAUAUCCUCUUAGUGAUGAGUGGUACUACAAGAUAUUUGAGUGGAAAUUCUCCCCUACUAAAUCCAUUACCCGCAUUAUGUUCCUAUAUACUCUGUGGGACACCUCCAAAAUAAAUGGAGCUCUUUGCUGUAUUUGCUUUAAUCCAGAUGCCUUAGAGAAUUCCAUAAAACAGUUGAGCACCAUUUGAAUGGAGAUAGUAUCACCUCUGCUGAAUAGCAGCAGAUCAUUUGCAAACCCUAGUUGGAUGAUAUUUAACUUGUCGCAUCUAGGAUGGAAAAUUGUAAUAUAGCAUAUACCUCAGGGAUUUAAAGCUCUUUGUGAGAUAUUCCAUACCUAGAACAAAUAACAAUGGUGAUAAUGGAUCACCCUGCCUUAGUCCUCUUCUUGCUUUAAAUGGUUCCAUUGGUUUUCCAUUGAUGAUAAUGGAAUAGGAUACUGUUCUUAUGUACACCAUAAUCCAUUUUAGAAAAUUCUCUAGCAUUCCUAGGUUGUUUAGCACUUGUUCUAAGAAGUCCCAUCCUACAGAAUCAUAUGCCUUUUGCAAGUCCAAUUUUAUCAUACAUAUAGGAGAUAUGCUCUUCCUCCCAUACCCUUUCACAAACUCAUGACUUAGGAUUAUGUUAUCUAUUAUGACUCUUCUAGGAAUAAAACCAGAUUGACUUUUGUUAACUAGGUGAUCCAUCACCCUUGCAAUCUAUUGGUCAAGGUUUUUGAGAUAAUCUUGUGUGGAACUCUGCAGCAUGAAAUAGGUCUAAAAUAUUUGAUAAUUGAAGAGUGCUAAAUCUUAGGGAUCAAAGUGACAGUUGUUACAUUAAUAGGCUUGUACAUUUCAGAUUUGUUGAAGAAGUGGAGCACAGCCUCAGAUACUUCUUUCCCUGUUAUCCCCCAUGUUUUCUUCAAAACUUUGAGUUGAAACCGUCACAUCAUGGGGCGUUUACUUCAUCUAUUCCUUUAAAUGCUUGUUGAAUCUCUUAUAUAGUAUCAUUUCAAUUACUUGUAACUGUUACUUCCUAUAUAGUACAUUGUCCUCCUUCCUAUUGCCUACCUGAAUGGCUGGUAUGCUAUCGGCUGCUGAUCCUAAUAGGCCUUUAGGAAAUUGUACUAUUUCCAUUUCAAUUGAUUUCCUAGACUAAAUUAUUUCACCAUUUGUAUUUCUCAAACUUCUAAUCUUAUUUUGAUUUACUCUACUCUUCAUGUUACCAAAGAAGAAUGCUAUAUUGUGAUCCUUUAGUUUCAACCAUUGUUUCCAGGAUUUAUGUUUAUAGAUACUUUCGUCUAUACUUGUCCAUUUCUCCAAUUGUUCCUUUAGUUCUUUUUCUUCUUCAAAACUGUGUGUUGAUGCACUUGUAGUUCCCAUCUACCCUUGUAUCUCUUGCAGCCUUUGCCUUGCAUUUUAACCUUCAAUUCUACUACUUGAAUUUCUUUUGUGUUCAGCCUCUUUAGUGCAUAUCUAACUUCCUUUUCUUUUGUGUUCAGCCUCUUUAGUGCAUAUCUAUCUUCCUUCAUCUUUCUCUAGACUUCUUCCAUUCUGCCCAUUUUUUGGUGUUUUAUUCCAUGCUUCCCCUACUACUUCUAAGAAAUCCUUAUGCUCAGCUAGAAAAUUUAAGAACUAAAAGGCUUUGGGGUCUUUUGUUCAUCUCCAAUCUUGAAACAUAAUGGGGAGUGAUAUGAGAAUAAAGGAUCCAUAAUCGCUGCAUCUACUUGUGGUAUGGUAUUUAUCCAUUCCGCAUUUAUGAUAGUCCUAUCAAUUUACCUAGACACAUGUGAAUUAUUCCAUGUGUUGUCCUUACGCACAAUCCUCAUUUCACACAUUCGUGUAUCUAUUAUGAAAUCUAUGAAAUCUCUUAUUUCAUUCUCUUGGACUAUGCUGCCAUUAAUUCUAUCCACCACUGUCAUACUGCUUUGUAGUCUCCCAUACAUAUCCAUGGUUUCCUCUUAUAGCAGUUCCAGUUUGAUAAGUCCCUCCAUAGACUUUCCUUGCUUCCAUUGUAUGCGACCCAUAAAUUAUCUGUGAAGUCAAACUCUUGCCUUGUGUCUAGUACCACUACCUCUAUAUGCAUGUAUUGUGGUUUAGCUUCUUUCAUAUUGAAUUUUAUUUCGGUUGGAUCCUAUAUUGCCCAUACUCUACCCUUUCCAGCUCAAUCAUAGUUUGUACACCAAUUCCAUCUAGGACCUACUUCUUGGAUGAUUUUCUUUCAAAACUUUUCUUGUACUCGAUGUUCUAUAAUAGCUAUAAUACUAAUACUAUGCUCUUUAAUAAACUUCUACAUCUCUUUUUGAUUAUAUAGCUUAUUCAUUCCCCUAACAUUCCAAGUAACUAAUUGCAUUGCACUAUUUUGUUUGUUAUCCCCUCUUUCACUCCUUGCCCAUUACUACAUUGCCAUAUAUUUUCCUUAUUUAGAUUAUUAAAGCUUGUUUCAGUAAGAAUAUUAAAUCCAUUACCCACUACUACUUCUCUUGUUGGUUCAGCAUGUGUAUUCUUUGUGGCUGAGUUUCCUUUAGCUGCUUUCCAUCCUUUAUUUUCCUCUAUUGCUACUUUUGCUAUAUUCUGCAUUUUAGGUACUUGUUCUGUAUUUUCUGCUGCUUCAUAUGCCUUAUGAAUUGUGCUUCCUUUCUCCUGUUCUUUUGGUUUCCAUUUCCUGCUUCUGCUUCUGUUGCUUGUUCAUCUGAGACUGUGUGUUUAUUUUGGCAGUUAUGUCCCAAUUGUAAGCAAGUACUAUAAUUAAUUGGCUUCCAAUCAUAUAUAACUGAUUGAUAAAUUGCCUACCACUCGGAUCCUUGAAUGCUAUAUUUGUUGGUAAUGUCCAUUUAUACAAUGAUUCUACCAUAAGAUAUACUUUCCACUUUGUUGUACAUUCAUUUUCAUAUUGGACUUCCCAAUCCACUACCUAUACGGCUCAGGGAAUCCAUUGCCUAAUAAUUCAGAGGCAGGUUUGGUAGUUUAACCCAUAGUGGCAGAGUUUUCACCACCUCUUCAUUAAAAUCAAAGUCCUUUGUCCAUGCCUUUGUGAUUACUGGUCUAUUUUUUAUUGUACAUGGUCCUGCGUAUAGAACUUCAUUUCUUUUCUCUUCAUUUUUGAAUUCCAUUACAAAAAAACCAUCAUUAUGGUAGUACACCUUAGUUUUGAUGCAAAGUUCUAUUGCGAUUCAAUAAACCUCUCAAUUUCUCCAAUACUUGGUGUAUCUCCCACCACGUACAUAAUAAAUAUCGUUUUACACUUCUCAGCUUCCUUUUCAAUUUCCUAUUUUUGAAAUUCAACAAUUUUCUCAACAUUGUGUAACACUGGCAACCCAAACGAUAGUCCCAUUCCUCUAGCAGCAAACGUGUUACCAGCAACCAGAUUUGCCCAUGAUUUACCUUCAUUUACUUUCUCUGCACUUGUAUCACUCGAGAUCUGUUGCUUCUCAAUGCGAAUUUAUUUUUCAUGUGCUCCUUCACCUUUUUUACAGCUCCUGCUAUUCGAUUUUUGUACCAUUUUUUAUUAAAUUUCAGCUUGCUCAGUCAUAAAUUGCUCUUUCAAGCUCCUACUUGCAUUUGAUGUUUCAGUUUCUCCCGACAUUGAUGUUAUCGCCUCUAGAUCUCCAUUUGUGCGCCAUGGUUUGGUGUAGACUUGUUUGAUUAGUUUUUUCUACUCGUUGUUGCUAUGAAUUCAGCUAGUUGGUUCUUCGUUACAAUUUUCUUAGGUCAUCCUCUUCCUCCAUGGCUGAUGGCGUAUUUUAGUUAUUCACGCUAAAAUGCGCCAAGAGCAUUUAGAGAGAGAAAGGUUUUUUCAAUACUUGUGUAUAACUUUAUGAAGUUAGGAUGAUACUCUAAAAUUGCUUUCUUGCUUGAAUUGACCUCUAGGCAGCUCAAAUCUAUCAAAUUAAAUGUAUAACUUCUUUACAAUUCAUCAAAAAUAAUUUACGAUAAUUUAGCAUCGACAUAAAAAUUUUGUUCUAAAAAGCCAAGUGAAAGUCAAUACGGGGCCCGCCUCUCGGACUUUCACAUAAUUUUUACAAAAUCCGAACACCCAUUUCGAUAUGAGUUCAACCAUACCAACACUAUCAAAUUCCGAUAACAACUUGACCUCCUAAUCUUUAUUUUUCUUUCUUGAAAAGUUUUGCAAUAAUCUUUACCUCUUCCAUCUAAAUCCGAAAUAAGUAAUGACUAUGGCAAAGGAUUUAUGAAAUAUAAUCACUGUCAGAUAUAGGACACUUAUCCAAGCCAAAGUCGUGAAGAACUCCUCCAAAAUAGCCAAAGAACCGAGCUCCAAAAUCUCGAUCGAAAAUGGUAAAAUUACCAUAUUUGGUCCUUAAACGAUUCUUCCCAAUUCCGCUUCUGAGGAAUAAAUUUUCGCUUCUGCGAUACAAGCGUCGCUUCUACAGAACACAAGGCCAACAGUCCCAUCGCAUAUGCGGAGUCAUUUUUGCUUUUGCGAAAUCACUUCUGUGAUGCCAAAAGCGCAUAUGCGAUGCCCUCCGCUUUUGCAACUUCUCUGCCCACUUAUGCAAUCACGUAGGUGCGGGAAUUUAUUCUCGUGGAAAUUCUCCCCUACUUACACUCCCAGCCGUAUCUGCGAAGAUGUCACGAUCCUAAAUCCGGACCCAGUAGUGAUGGCACCUCUAGUGAAGACAAGACCAACCGACACUUACCAAUUUCAGUUUUUAAGCAAUUUAACAAUAUGAAUUAAGUCUAAACAAAAUAAAUAAUCCAAUGGUAUGCAGUUAACUAUACAAAUUUACGAAAGAACAACCCAACACAGGCUGAUACCCAGGUGUCACUAGUCAUGAUCAUCUAUCAAUACGCUACAAGUUUGAGAUGCCUACUAAACGAUUAUAGAAUAACUGAUAAAGAGGUAGAAAUGAGAUGAAAUAGGGAUAAACACGGGACUGCAGACGCCAAGCGGCUACCUCUUGGACUCCAAAAUCUGUCAGAUGCUCUUAUCUCAUGCUAGCAGGACCAAGAACGCCUGAACCUGCACAAGGGGUGCAUGGAUUAAAUGGACUACUCAAAAUUAUUGAGUAAUAAUCAUAAAUAAACAACUGAGAGAUAUGAAAACAUCUAAGGCACAUAGAUACUAUAAUGAAGCAGUAAAGCCAUUAAAACAAAGUGAAUCAAUAAGGAUAUGUAAAUUCAUUUAAGUUCAGUUUAAACUUCAUGAAAUGAAUUUUCAAAAAUUAAUAGAUAAAUGAUAGAAAAAUAAGAAAUAUAAACACAUAAAGGUGUGCCCCUUAAGCACCAUGUCAAUGAAUCCUCCCCGUGCUCACUGGGGGUGUGCACACUCCUGGAGGGGCCACUUAGGGCCCAAGUGCAAAAUGAAGCCAUCUCGUGGAAUCAUCACUGGGCCCUCGGCCUCAUAUCAACUAGCCACCUCAUGGCGUACAGGUCUCAGGCCCUCAGCAUCAUAUUUAUAACAAAAUGUUUCCUCACAACAUAGGUCCUCGACCUUACUCAGUUAAAACCUCACAACUCACUUGGGCAAUAGCAAAACAUGAUUCUCAGUCCAAAAUAUCAUUUAAAGGAUCAUUUAAGUGUUAAGAUAGAAUAAAAAUCGUUGAGUUAUGAAAAUAGUGGAAUAUAACAUGAUUAAGUUCAAGUAUAAAGUCAAAACAGUGAGGAAAUAUCAAUAAAAAUCACCUAAGGGUUCAAAUAGUUGGCAAGAGGCCCAAAUAUGGAAUUCAACCUAAGACAUUAUGUACACAAAUAGAUUUUAGUCAAAUACACGGUAGAAUAUUCAUUUGGAAUGGACCAAGUCGUAAUACCCAACAGUGCACGACCCCAUGCUCAUCUUUAUGCAUGCGCAUCACCUCAAUAUAGCAAAUUGAUGUCCAAAUCCGGGGUUUCAUGCCCUUAGGUCAUCAUUUACAAUCAUUAGUCACCUCAAUCCGGUCAAAACUCUAGCCCAUGAUGCCUUUGCCUCUCGAAUCGGCCUCCACUUGCGUUGAAUCUAUCCGAAAUUAGAAUUACGGAAACAAAAUAUGCUAAGGGAGUGAAACCGUAGCGAAAAUAACAAAUUUACAACAUAAAUCCCAAAAUUACAAAAACCCGACCCACUAGGCACACAUCUCGAAAUUUGAUAAAAUUCACGUCAAUGGAUUCCUUAUCUCCCCACGAGUUGAUACAUAUCAAAUGUACCAAAAUACGACAACAAAUGGCCCCUCAAAUCAUCAGGUCUAGGUCUCCAAUAGCAAGCCCUAGUUUGCCUAAUUGUAACCCUUAAAUUCCAUUAAGUAUAGCUCUAAUCCGUGUAAUGUUACCAUAGGAACUAGUUUUUGGUUCAAAAAACUUACCUGAAUGAGGUCUCCUUGAAUUAUCUCUUCAAAAUCACCCAAAACUCUAGAAAUCGCGUUUCAAAAAGGUGUAAACCUCUGAAAAUCGCGAAGGACGAAAUAUAUACAUUUUGACCCAGGCAUUUUUUGCAUCUGCGGUCAUUUCACCGCAUCUGUGGAACCACUUAUGCAGUCAAGACCACUGCAUCUGCAGUCCUAACAUAAGUACCCAUUUUAUGUAUUUGCGAUCCACUAUCCGCACAUGCUCUACCGCAGGUGUAGUUCUCUAACCGCUUCUGCAGUUUCUGCCUCCCUAGCUCCUUUCCACUUCUGCGACCCCCUUCCUCGCAUAUGCGGAAUUGCACCUACGGUCCCUUCUCCGCAGGUGCAGAAAUACCAGAAGCAGAAAAUCUCUAGGCUCACCAAAAAUACCAAACGCUCCGUCAACCAUCCGAAAUCACCCCGAGGCUCACCGGAUCUCAACCAAAAGCACCAAUGAAUCCCAAAACCUUAUUCAAAAUUGUACCAAUCUUCAAAACACCUCAAAAAUCACCAAAUCAACCAAAACACAUAGGUUUCGCUGUCUGGUGGCAUUCCAGAAAGGUAUGUAGGACACACAUCAGGAAAAUCCCUCACAAGUGGAACAGAAUCAAUACUGGGAGUCUCAGCACCGACAUCCCUCAUAAAGGCUAGAAACAAAAGUCAAAUCCUUCCCAACUAUAUGCUGGCCCUUCAAGAAUGAGAUCACUGUAUUAGGAGCAUAAUUAGUCACACCUCCACUUAAUCCGUGGCACACCUAGUUUAGCCAAUCUGACUGUCUUAGCAUGGCAACCCAGAAUAGCAUGACAUGGAGAUAGCCAAUCAAUGCCUAAAAUGACAUUGAAAUCCUCCAAACACAAUAGUAAAAGAUCCACCCAGGUCUCCAAACCCCCAAUAAACACCACACAUGAUCUCUACACAUGAUCUCUACACACGAUCUAUAACAGCAAUAUCUCCUAUCAAGGUAGAUACACGAAUAAGGGAAGCAAAAGACUCACGAGGCAUACCCAAAUAACGAGAAAGGUAUGAUAACAUAUAAGAAAAAGUGGAAUCAGGAUUAGAUAAUACAGAGGCAUCUCUGUGGGAGACUGAAACAAUACCUAUAAUGACAAUAUCAGAAGCAAUAAUAUCGGGUCUAGCUGGAAGUGAACAGAUAAGGGCCUGAAGGCCACCUGAUCGACCUUCCCUUCUAAGGUGGACCCUAGCUGACUGACUUCCACCCCUAGCUAGCUGGUCAAAGUUGAAGCCGAUAACUGACCCCUCAUCUUAGAGGAACUUGCAAGACAACGAGCACACUGCCUCCACAUAUGACCCAUCUCUCCAUACUCAUAACAACUCCCAGGUGCUGGAGAAGGGGACUAAAGGGAACCCCUCGCAUAUGAGUGACAAGCAGAUGCAUCUGGCAUAGAAGAGCCCUGAAAUGAAGUAGCACGAGAGGAACUCUGAGCUGGAAGGGCACUAAGUGAUGACUGGCCCUAAUGAGAACUGUGAGAACCAUGACCCGAUGACGCCUCACGAAAACCUGAGGCUAGCUGGCUAAGCAUGCAUGAAUGGACGGCCACUGCCAUAAGAAACUGACCUCUUGAUGGAGCACCACUAUAUCUACCAGAUCCUCGAGGCCUCUUGGCCUCCCUCUCCUUUCUCUCUUGGCGACAAACAGACUCAAUCUGCCGAGCAAUGCCUACAACGUCCUUGAAGGUAGCACCAGUCACUUUCUCCCUGGUCAUGAGAAUAGGAAGCUCAUAAGUGAGGCCAUCAACAAAUCUACUAAUGCUCUCUCUAUCCGUCAAAACCAACCAAAUCAAAUGACGACCUAAAUUAGAGAACCUUAUCUCAUACUGCAUCACAAUCAUCUCUCCCUGAUGCAACCACUCAAAUACCUUAUGUAGCUGGUCACUGCGAGACUACGAAACAUUCUUCAGAAAGAGAACAAAGAAUUGCUGCAAGGUAAUGGGUACUGCACCAACUGGCCUACGACUCUCAAAUUCCCCCCACCAUGUAAAGACAGCUCCAGCAAACUGCCAAGUAGUGAAAGCGACCCUGCUGGGCUCUAGAAUACUCGUUGUACAAAGUAUCCUCUAACAUUUAUUCAAGAAACCCUAGGCAUCCUUGCCCUCUGCACCACUAAAACUCGGAGGCUGAAGUCUACCAAACCUUUUCAACCUAUGCUGCUCGUCCUGUAGCAUGGCAGGAACUAUAUAGUCCUGAGCAACUGUAAUAGGCUGGGCUGGAUGUGCCCUUGGCAUUUGAAGUCCCUACAAGACCUUCUCAGGUGUUCAAGUGGUGGGAAUCUAAUAGCCUCUCCCGGUCUAAGAAGUAGUUGCGGUUGUAGUAGCGGAGCGCCUGAGCUAGGCCAGUGUAAACUGAUAGAAUUUGAGCUAAGGCCUCCUGAAGACCCAGAAUCGUAAUGAGCACAGCUGGUGCAUGAGCUAGUGUUGCUGAAGCCUCCAUAACUGGGACUUGAUCUUGAACUAGGGCGGCUGGUGGACCUAUAGGUGCCGCCCUAGCUGCUGUGGAGGCCAUACCUCAGCCCCUACCAAAAUCACGACUGCGUCAUAAGCCUCUAGUGGCCACAACUAGGGGUACUGGUGGUCGUCCAUCCUGACCGGUAGCGUGUGUCCUUACUAUUUGUAAGAGAAUAGAAUAAUGUAAGUUUAGUACUCAAAUCAACGAAUUCGCACGACGAGAAUUUCAAGAAUAUGAUGUUAUCCUAAAAGUUCUACAUCCUCUCAAAAAUAAAUACAGACGCCUCAGUACCGAUCCUCAAGACUCUACUAAACCUGUUCAUGACUCGUUAGACCUAUGUAACCUAGCUCUGAUGCUAACUUGUCACGACCCUAAACCCUAACCUCUCCUGAAGAAUAGACCUGCUGGCACUUUCCCAUUUUUGUUUAUAAGCAAUUAAACACUAAUAAUUAAGUCUAAACAUAAUAAAUAAUCCAAGAGUAAGCAGUUAACCAUACAAAUUUGCGGAAGAACAACCUAGCACAUCUUGAUACCGGGGUGUCACUAGUGAUGAGCAUCUAUCAAUAUGAUUCAAGUCUAAUAUGCCUACUAAACUAUAACAGAAUAACUAAUAAAAAGAUAGAAAUAAGAUAAAGGGGGAGAAACAUGGGACUACGGAUGCCAAGCAGCUACCUCGUGGACUCCGAAAUCUACUGAGAGCUCUCAACUCGCGCUAGCAAGAUCAGCAAUGCCUUAAUCUUCACAAAGGGUACGGGGAGUAGAGUAAUUACUCCAACUUAGUGAGUAAUAAUCAUAAAUAAAUGUAUGAGAGAUAUGACAACAGGUAAGGCAAAUGCAAGCUAUAAUAAAGCAGUAAAACUAGUAAAAAUAAUGAAUCAGUAAAUACAUGUAAUAUCACUGAAGUUCACUUUAAACUUCAUGAAAUGCCUUUUCAACAACUAACAGAUAAAUGACAGACAAAUAGGAAAGAUAAAAACAUAAAAUUGCUCCUCAGGCACAAUGUCAACGAAUCACCCCUUGGGCUAUAUCUAUUAUCACAAUGGGUACCCGCGCUCACUGGCAGUGUGCAAACUCCUGGAGGGGCCCCUCACGGUCCAAGUAUAAUAUGAAGGCAUCUCGUGGCAUCAUCACUAGGACCUUGGCCUCAUAUUAAGAGGCCACCUCGUGACGUACAUAUCUCACGACCUCGACCUCAAAAUCAUAACCAAAUGUUUCCUCACAAGCCACUCGGACAAUAGUAAAAUAUGAUUCUUAGCCUAAAAUAUCACUUGAACGAUCAUUUAUUUUUUAAGACGGAGUAAACAUGGUCAAGUUAUGAAAAUAGUGGAAUAUAGCACGACUGAGUUCAUGUAUAAAGUCAAAACAGUGAGAAAAUAUAAAUAAAAAUCCCCUAAGGGUUAAAAUAGUUGGCAUGACGCCCAAAUAUGGAAUUCAGCCAAAAAUAUGAUGUACACAAAUAGAUUUCAGUCAAAUACACAGUAAAACAGUCAUUCGGGAAAGUCAAAGUCACAAUCCCCAACAGUGCACGCCCCACUCUCGUUAUCAAGCGUGUGCGUCACCUCAAUAUAGCACAAUGAUAUCCAAAUUCUGGGUUUCAUAGCCUUAGGAUAUUAUUUACAAUCAUUACUCACCUCAAUCCGGUCUAAACUCUAGGUCGCGACGCCUUUGCCCCUCGAAUCGCUCCACUCGCAUAGAAUCUAUACAAAAGUAGAAUCACGGUAUCAAAAUAUGCUAAGAGAACGAAGCCCUAGUGAUAAUAAUGAAUUUACAACAUAAGUCCCAAAAUUACGAAAACCCUACCCCGGGCCCACGUCUUAGAAUUCAAUAAAAUUCACAUCAAUGAAUUCCUUAUCUGCCCACAUGUUCAUACAUAUCAAAAGUACCAAAAUCCUAUCACAAAUGGCCCUUCAAAUCCUCAAGUCUAGGACUCCAAUAGCAAGCCCAAGUUUCCCCAAUUUUAACCUUUAAAUUCCAAUAAUUAUAGUUGUAAUUCGUGAAAUAAUACCAUAGGAACAAGAUUAUGGUCCAAAAUCCAUACAUCAAUGAUGUCUCCUUGAAUUAUAUCUUCAAAAUCGCCCAAAACUCCAGAAAUCGCGGUUAAAAAUGGUGAAACCCUCCGAAAAUCGUGAAGGACGAAAUAUAUAUAUUCUAACCUAGGCAUUUUGACAUUGCAGUCGAUCCACGACAUCUAUGGUACGGCUUCUGCGGCUAAGACCAAAGCAUUUGCGGUCAAUCCACCUCAUCUACGGUACCGCUUCUGUGGUCAAGACACAACAUCUGCGGUCCUCACUUAAGUCCCGAUUUUUUGCAUUUGCGAUCCACUAUCCGCAUCUGCGCCACCGGAUAUGUGGUUCUCCAACUGCUUUUGCUGUUUCUUCCUCCCUAGCUCCUUUUUUAUUCUAUUUCCCCUUCAUCGUAUCUCCAGCAUCGCACAUGCUGUCCCCAAUCCGCAGGUGCGAAAAUACUAGAAGAAAAAAAUCUGCAGCUUGACCAAAAAUCCCAAAUCUUCGUCAACCAUCUGAAAUCACUCCGAGGACACUGGGACCUCAACCAAAAGCAUUAACAUAUCCCAAAACCUUAUUUAAACUUGUACCAGUCUUUGAAACACCUCAAACAUCACUGAAUCAACCAAAACACAUCGGUUUCAAGCCUAAGUUUCCAAAAUAUUUUAAAAUACGCUUUUAAUCAAAAAUCCAAACAAACCAGGUCUGAAAGACCUAAAGUUUUGCACACAUAUCCAAAAUGACACAACGGAACUACUGAAAAUCUCGGAAUUCAAUUUCGACCCCUAUAUAAAAAUCUGACUAACCAACCGAAAUUCGCCAAAAAUCUAAUUUCGCCAAUUCAAGCCUAAUUGUACUUUGACCCUUCAAAACAUAUUCUGAUCAGGCUCCUAAGUACCAAAUCACCUCCCGGAGCUAACGAACCAUCAGAACUCACAUCUAAGCCCUCUAACAUAUUAGCCAAUAUCCGGUCAACUUUUCCAACUUAAGUUUCUUUAAAAGAGACUAAGUGUCUCAAAUCUUACGAAAAGACUUUCCGAACUCAAGCCAACCAAUCCGAUCACAUAUAGAACCAAUAGACAAUACAAUAAAAAGCAGAAAUAGAGGAAGCAGAGCGAUAACUCAUGAAACGUCUAGCCGAAACGUCACAAAAGAGCUUCAUGCUUCUGCAAGGUCGCUUCUGCAAUAAAAAUCUCACAAACGCGGUAGUAUCAGUUGAUGUCCAGAAACAACAUAAAUUCUAGCAGCUCCUUUGGUCCGAAAUCUAAUCCGUUAAGCAUUCAAAAUCCACCCGAGGCCCUCUAGACCUUAACCAAAUAUACCAAUAGGUAUCAAAUUAUUAUACGAACUUAGUCAAGGCUUCAAACUAUGUUAAAAAUGUCAAAAUUACUAAUCGCACCUUCAAUUGAAUUAUAAGUUUUCACAUCUUCAAAAUUCUAUAUCUUUCACCGGAACAUAACAAAUCAAUCUGAAAUGACUUCAACUUUGCACACGAGUCAUAAAUGACAUAGUGGAGCUAUUCUAAUUUUCAGAAUUGUCAAAAUUCCAUUCCGGAGACGUUUUCCCAAAAGUCAAACUUCAGUCAAAUCUUUUCAUUUUAGCUUAAAAACUAAGAGUUAUUCUAUCAAUUUAAUUUUGAAUCUUUUGAAAAUCAAACUCAACUACACACACAAGUCAUUUUACAAUUCACAAAGUUACCUGGGACCUUAAGUCGCUGAACGUGACGUUAAUUCUUAAAAAGACAAUUCGGAUCAUUAUAGUUGUCUUUACGUUUGUGAUUCGAGACUUGACCACAAGGUUCCGUGAGUAUAUGAUAGUGGGUUGAGACCCAUUACUUGUGACUGUAAGAUAAAUUAUCAUUGAGUGAUUUUAUUGUGAAACUUGUGUUAGAACGACUUGAUUAAUUGGUUGUCCUUUUGUUCCUUAUUUGGUUUUAACGAUACUUCACAGUAUUCUUAUUGCUUUACUCUUUUUACCACUUGUUGAUCUUAUUUCCAUUUACUGAUUUCUGCUUUCCAUUAUUAGUUUUAUACUUCUACAUUGUACAUGUUAUUUUAUCUUGUGAGUCUUUUGACUUGUACCUCGUCACUACUCCACCGAGGUUAUUCUUGAUUCUUACCGGGUACUGAUUGUGGUGUACUCAUACUACACUUAUGCACAUUUUUUCCGCGGAGCCAUGUAUUGGAGAUAUCAGACUCGGACAGAGUUAGUCUGUUAAUACCGAGGACUCAAGGUAGAGUUGCUUGGUUGUCGCAGUUCCUUGGAGUCGUUUCCUUUCAUUGUACUGUCAGCUUGUAUUUGAACCAUAUUAUAUCUUGAUCUUUGAGAUCUUUCAAUGUGUUUUGUUAGAGUUCGUGACUCUGUAUUUUAAGCCUUGGGAGAUUGUUAUGAUUAUUGCGGCGAAGGGUUAUUUCGCUUUUGUUUAGGCAAAUAUAUUAAACUAUGUUUCAAAUUAUCAUUAUUAAAAUUGUAUUAAUCGUUGUUAGUUAUUGGCUUAUUUAGUCUUAGAGAUUAGGUAUCACGAUGCAUGCAGUAGGUUUUUGGAUUUUGACCGCAAGUAUUCCACAAAUACUUUGAGAAAAUCCAAUGAAAGAACUUGAGAAUAUGAGAGAAGAAGGUGAAUGAGAGAAAACGAGAAUUAAAAGAAUGAGAAAAUCCAGUGAUAGAACUUAAGAAUAUGAGAGAAGAAGGUGAAUGAGAGAAAACGGGACCUAAAAGAAUGAGACUUUUAGUGGGACAUUUGUUUCUUUAGUAUUUAGCCCUAAAAAAGUUUAUAUUCAUGAAAUAGCCCUUCAUUGUUGAAGAGCACCUUUACUUAUUAUAUAGUUAAACUAGUAAGGAGCUAUCGAUCAGUAUCAACUAUCAACUAUACUAAACCACAUUUAUAACGUGUUCUUUAUAAAGACAAAAUAAUUGAUGAAUAAAAACAUAUUAUAGGGGACCAUAGCUCUUUUACUUUUGGUAGUAUCCCUUUUGUAUUUUUCUAUUACACUAAGUAAGUAUUAUUUUUCCUUCUGUCUUUUUCUUUAUGGUACAAUAUUGUUCGGUGGCCAAACCUUUAAAUGUGAUAAAAACGUGUAUUUACAAACAAAUAAAAAGGGGUGUAGAAGCGAAACUAGGUUAUCCAUACAUUGUUUUUCCUUUUUUCCAGAUUUUUCUUCAAAAACAUAUUUGUCCAAAAUUUUACAAGUUUUUGGAGACUUUUUGAAAAUGAGUUUUCACAAACUAAAAGGUAGUUUUCAUCACUUUUUCAAAAUCUUUAAAAAAAAAAAAUCCCAACUCACAAAACAGCAGUAUUUUUCCAAGUGAAAUGUAUGUCCAAACAUAACUUUAAAUUCCUAAUUCUAAUUUUCGGCUUAACUAUGAAUACUACUUUCAUUUAAAAUUUGCAAUUUUAAUGUCUAAAUGCCUGCUUUGAAUGACAACUUCAAACUAUUAACAAUAACUGAGUUCUACAUUAAAUAUUGAUACAUGUUUAAUAAAUUUCUUAAUGCCGAACACACUGUUGAAUAAAAGCUAUAUAUUGAGUUUCAUAGAAUUUGUAGCUCAGUUUCUACCUCAACCAGUGGUGGAACCAAAUUGAACCAAUGGGCAUUCGCCGGAAAAUUACAUUAUAUUGCUAAUUAAUUUAGUGUAUUUUAUGUAUAUUUACUAUACAUUAACUUUCUUUGAUUUUUCGAUAUAUCUAAUUAUUUAUAUUUUAGCACCUUUUGAUAAAAAUUCUGGUUCCACCACACUUGCCGCGGUAGUUGAAAGAAUAAAUAACUCACGUAAAUGAGGUACUAACUCACUAUAAAUAUCCUGUGGAAUCAAUGAGUCUUAACAUAGUACAAUUUGGAGUUUCCUUCUUUGUAUUUUUCAAAGCAAAGGCAAUGGAGGGGAAGACAAUGGUCAAGUUAUCUCAUGUAUUUGCUUUUUUGCUCCUUGCAUCACGUAAGUUAGCCUUUUCUCAUGCACAUUUAUAUUUAUUUCAAAUAUUCGAAAACAGAACUUAUUAUCUCUCAAAUAAGUAGUAAGUAAUUAUUCUUGUGAAUUAUUUAUUAAUUUGAAUUAUAGUUUUGCAAUCUCUUACGGCACGAGAUCUGGUAUUCGAAGUGAAUGAUGGAAUAGAAGUCUUGCAAUUUCCAAUGGCAAAAGAAAACCAAGUGGAAACACUUGAUGAUCCCCUAGUUUCAAAGAUAUUGUAAUAUUAAAGCUAUUAGUAACGAUUUAAAUUAUAUAUACUCAUAGUGUAAAGAUUUUUUGCAUCAUCAAUUGUUGAGUUGUCCCACAUCGGUGGGAUUUGAGGUCCUUGGUCUCCUUAUAUGGCUUGGGCAAUUCUCACCUCAUAAGCUAGCUUUNNNNNNNNNNNNNNNNNNNNNNNNNNNNNNNNNNNNNNNNNNNNNNNNNNNNNNNNNNNNNNNNNNNNNNNNNNNNNNNNNNNNNNNNNNNNNNNNNNNNNNNNNNNNNNNNNNNNNNNNNNNNNNNNNNNNNNNNGAGCCAGACCCAUCCCAAUUAUUGUUACCGAUGUUAGGCCCCCAUUUAUGUUGUCCACGCUCCAGAGAUCUGGGCAUGAGGGGGUGUUGAGUUGUCCCACAUCGGAGGGAUUUGAGGUCAUUGGUCUCCUUAUAUGACUUGGGCAAUCCUCACCUCAUAAGCUAGCUUUUGGGAUUGAGUUAGGCCCAAGGUCCAUUCUUUUCAUCAAUAUAGUUUAACAUAUGACAGAAAGUUAAUUAUCAAUUUUAAUAGGUUGACGCUUAUUAAUGUUUAUUAUACAUAGAGAUUUACUUGUCUUAUUUUAUAAGUGACUUGAUUGUCCAAACAUGUAUUUUAUCUGCUAGUACAAUUAAACUCUCUUAAUAUUUAAAAUAAAACACGAGCUAGGGAAUAGAGUAGUUUAUGUUAUUUUUGGGGGUGGGAGAAUAUAAAAUAAGGUAAAAGUCCUUUGUGUUAAUUAUUCCAUAGAGAUCUUAAAGUUCCAUGAUGGUUAUAUACUCAGAAUUUAUGCAUAAUAGUUUUUCUAUAAGUAUAAGUGUCACGUACUAUAUAUUCUUUUUAAUUUUGUCUCAUUAUAUUUUAUUAAUUAUAGGAAAGCAUUUAUGGCCUGAACUUGUGGGAAUGCCAGGAAAGACUGCUAAGGAAAUAAUUGAGAAAGAAAAUCCCUUGGUCAAAGUUCAAUUUUUGUUCCCUGGAAUGCCUAAACCAUUGGAUUUAGUUUGUGGUCGAGUUAUUGUUGUUGUUAACUGGGAAUUCAUCGUUAUAAUUACUCCCACAGUGGGUUAACUAAAUAGUUCUAUGGGACUAUUAUGGAAGAUUUAGAAUAAGUAGCCCCAAGAAUUACUAAUAAAUAGAGUUUCUGGUGUUCUAUAGUACACUCUUCAUGUACUCCACUCUUUCGAUGUAAUGAAUAAAAUAAGUGUGGGUUAUUUAAUUUGUAUUAUGCAUGUAUUAUAAUUUAUCUUUCCUCCUUCUCUUUUCUAUUGUAAAUUUUCCAGUUUUGCUUUUCUUUUUCGUUUGUUAUGCAAUUUGGCGUACAUAGAGGCGUAGCUCUACUUGGUAGAAUGUUGUAGACGUUAUUAGUUUACCAUCUCUUGCUUAAAAAUCUAAAUUUUUAGAUGAGAUAACAAUAUAAUUCAAUAAAUAUUGUAUAUCAUAGGAAGAGUUCAAAGGUCGUGUCUCUACCUACUACUAUUCAUCCAUGAAAAUAUGGGAACAUAUUUGACUUAAAACUAAAAUGAAAAGAUUCCUAACGCACUUUAGCGAGCCCAUGGAAGACACAAUUAACAUUCCAUGAAAACAAAAAUACCUCAUCUUUGAUGUAUUGUAGACAUAAAACACUUAUUGGGAUUAAUCCUUACAAAAUUUGGAUUAUAUUCAAUUGAGUUAAAUAAUUAAUUUAAGCUUUAUAAGUUAACUUAGACCAUUUUAUUAUUUUCAAGCCUAAGGUCAAAUACAUCUUAAGACCCAGAUUCAUGUCAUGUAUCAAGUGACAUGGCAUAUCUAAUCAAACUGCAUGAAAAAAAGAUGAUAUCACGUGUUAAAUGAUAUGGCAAUUCAAGUCAAAAAGCAAGAACCAACCACAGGUCGCCAAGUGGCUAAAAUGACAUGAGCCAAUCAGAAUCAAGCAGGAGAAUUCACAUGUUGCUGGACUAUCUAUCCUCUACAACUAUAAAUAGAGGGGUUACAUAACUCUUAGAGGACAUUCAGAUUUGGAGAAUAACAUUCCGCAAUUGGUGAAGGCAUCCAAAAACAGAGAGAUAAAUCAUUGUUACACCUCCUUUACCCGAGGAGGGAAAUAAGAGAGUUUUUUCACAUUAAGUGACAUUAUUCGAUAUGAGAUUAUUUAAAUAAUUUCAGAGUCGCCACUUUCGGAUUAUUAUCGUGUCACAAGUCGCCAGUUUUUUUAAUAAAAUCGCAAAUUGAGUAAAAUUCGACUUCGGUAAAAGUAUGCGAAACCAGAAAGACUAGGUAAGGAAAUCUAUUAACUCGAGAGAAGGUUUUAGGCAUUUUCGGGUUCUGCAAUUUUAGCACGGUCGCUUAGCAAUUUAUACUUAGCUUAUCUUGUUUAAUUACUCAUUUUAGGACCUAUGUUUAUUUUACCACUACUAAUCACUUGAUAAUGCAUAUUGAAGAAAUUAACCUAAGAUGAGUUACAUGUACGUAUACUCAAUUCUAAACACUUGGUUUAUUUAAAAAAAAGGUUUAGUCAAAGUUGCGUGAACACAUACUUUGGAUUUAUUUGAGAAACGUAAUCAUAAUAACAAUUCAAAACUCGUGCCUAAAGUAUUUGUAUUAAUAUUUAACCAUGAUCAUGCAAACGUAUACCUUGGCAUCACAACUAUGUCAAGCAAGUGUAUACAUAAUUGUAAUAAUUAAUCUAAUUUAAAGGUGUGCCUAAAGUUGUUGUUAUGUCUCUAAGUGUUCUACAUUGUCACAUAUCCCUUUAUACACACUACCACGAAGGAUAGGAGAGUUUUUUCAAUUUAAGUGAGAUUAAUUAUUUAUUUGCUUUUGUACAGACUCACUACUUGGGAUAUGUUUGUUUUCUGUUGUCUUAAGUCACCGGUUUAUUUUAAAUCCCAAAUUGAGGAAAAUUCGACUUUCGUUGUGAAGUCUGCGGACCAGAAAUUCUUUUGUAACGAAUGAUGUUAACCCGAGGGAAGGUGUUAGGAACCCCCAGAUUCUGUGGUUCUAGCAUGGUCACUUAAACUAUCAUGAUUGGCUAAUUAUUACAUAUUCAAACCAAUAGCGCGAUUUUAAAUUAUUUACCGUUUUCAACUAAUUUUAAAGAAGAUUGAACGUUGUUUAAAAUAUGUCUUUGCAUUGCGUCACAUGAAAUGCACCCCCAAUCCGAAACACAUUUUAUUCAAAAUUUUAGGAUUUGGAUUUGGGUCAAAUGAAAUUUACACCCAAUUUUAAGAAGGUAAAAUUAAUAAAAGACGCAUCUAAAGCAACUAACGUAUUGUUAACUUUGCGGAAGGCCAUGGAAAUUAGCUAAAUAUCAUGCCCUCCAAUUUUAAGUAUUUUAAAAAGGAAUAAGUAAAUGAGGACUAGGAGUGAGCAAGGGGAAUCACAUGAGUUCGAAUCCCCAUGACAGGAGUUCAAAAGAAACGACGACUAGGAUUGCUAGAGAUCAAAUCCACGUAAAUUAGGUACUAACUCACUAUAAAUAUCCUGUGGAAUCAAUGAGUCUUAAGUUAACAUAGUACAAUUUGGAGUUUCCUUCUUUGUAUUUUUCAAAGCAAAGGCAAUGGAGGGGAAGACUAUGGUCAACUUAUCUAAUGUGGUUGCGUUCUUGCUCCUUUCAUCACGUAAGUUAGCAUUUUCUCUUGCACAUUUCUACUUAUUUUUAGUGAAUUUUGGUCAGUAGACCAUUAGAGAAGUAAUCAAAAGAGAAAUCACAUAAGGGUUAUCCUGUUGAAAAUUAAAAUAAUCUUGAUUUUGUAAUAAUUAUUUGGGCUUAAGAAAUUAUGAAAAAUAAAGAGCCCAAUUAGCCUAUUUUCUAGAAUGUGAGCCCAUUUGACCCAUGUUCNNNNNNNNNNNNNNNNNNNNNNNNNNNNNNNNNNNNNNNNNNNNNNNNNNNNNNNNNNNNNNNNNNNNNNNNNNNNNNNNNNNNNNNNNNNNNNNNNNNNNNNNNNNNNNNNNNNNNNNNNNNNNNNNNNNNNNNNNNNNNNNNNNNNNNNNNNNNNNNNNNNNNNNNNNNNNNNNNNNNNNNNNNNNNNNNNNNNNNNNNNNNNNNNNNNNNNNNNNNNNNNNNNNNNNNNNNNNNNNNNNNNNNNNNNNNNNNNNNNNNNNNNNNNNNNNNNNNNNNNNNNNNNNNNNNNNNNNNNNNNNNNNNNNNNNNNNNNNNNNNNNNNNNNNNNNNNNNNNNNNNNNNNNNNNNNNNNNNNNNNNNNNNNNNNNNNNNNNNNNNNNNNNNNNNNNNNNNNNNNNNNNNNNNNNNNNNNNNNNNNNNNNNNNNNNNNNNNNNNNNNNNNNNNNNNNNNNNNNNNNNNNNNNNNNNNNNNNNNNNNNNNNNNNNNNNNNNNNNNNNNNNNNNNNNNNNNNNNNNNNNNNNNNNNNNNNNNNNNNNNNNNNNNNNNNNNNNNNNNNNNNNNNNNNNNNNNNNNNNNNNNNNNNNNNNNNNNNNNNNNNNNNNNNNNNNNNNNNNNNNNNNNNNNNNNNNNNNNNNNNNNNNNNNNNNNNNNNNNNNNNNNNNNNNNNNNNNNNNNNNNNNNNNNNNNNNNNNAGUAAUAAAAGUUUCUCUUCUCCAAAAUCUUUCUACUCUUCCAAAAUUCCCUUAGCCUAAAAGCCUCCCUCCAAAUAUUAAUAGUAAUCCUCUUCCAACAUAUCCAAAAUCACUCAUUGGAGUAUCUAUUUAUAGAUUUGCAUGUGAAUAUCAGAUAAAAAUAAUGAGACACAGUAACACAUAGUAAGAAUCUAACAAAUAAUUGCCCACAAACAAGUGCAAGAAAAAAGGAUUGAUCGGAGAAAAAACUUGCCACAAGUGAGAGCUCGGAUCAGAGAAUUAUUCGAAGAAGGGAACAACCUUCACAAGCGGUUGUUUUGAGAAUUAGCAUCUUUUCGGUUGCUUGAAGUCUCGAUCAACUUCAUAUUAUGUAGUAUUACUUGCUUAUGUGGCCGGAUUCGAGUUUUGGAUGAUGCAGGAUUGAUUAGGAAUGAUGAUUCUUGUUUUAGAAGUUUAAGCGGUAAGAGUUGACCGGAGUUUGAAUUUUGUGUAAACAACUCCGGAAUGGUAUUUUGAUGAUUUAAAUAAUUUCAUAUGGUGAUUUUGGGCUUAGGCGUAUGUUCGAAUUUAGUUUUGGAGGUUUGCAGGUUAGUUUGAUGCAUUUUUGCAAAAAUUAGAAAGUUGAAGGGCUGAAAGGUUGAGAAGUUUGACCUGGGAGUUGACUUUUUUGAUAUCGGGUUCGAUUUCGAUUCUGGGGGUUAGUAUAGUUCUGUGGUGUCAUUUGGAACUUGAAUGCAAAUUUGACGUCAUUCCGGUUGAUUUGAUAUUAUUCGGCAUUAGCUAUAGAAGUACAAAGUUCAUUAAGUUCGAUUUGAGGCACAAUUCGUAGUUUUAAUGAUGUUUGAUGAGAUUUGAGGCCUCAAGUAUGUCCACAUUAUGUUAUGGAACUUGUUAGUACGUUUGGACGGAGUCUCAGGGGGCCCGAAUAUAUUUUGGAGAGGUUUCAAAUCAUUUGGACCAUGUUGAGAGAUGCUGGUUUGGACAGGGCCCUUAUGUGGGUGCACCUGCAGACCAUUGGGCGCAUGUGCAUUGAUCUCAGGUGUAAAGGAAAAGAGGUGCAGAAGAGGAACAACACUAGAUGAGGAUGACCGUAGCAGCAGAUGUCUUGGCGUACCUACAUAUCCGAAGGUGAGGAACAUUGAGCGUGGAAGCGACAUUAGCCCAGGUAAGGUAAUUCCACAUAAGUGUAUUAUUGGUCGCAGAAGUUGGUGUUACAUAAGCGAUCUUCUGACCACAGAAGCGGGUUUUAUUGGGCAGAGUGUAUUUAUGUCGAGAGUUCGGUUAUUUUUAUCACUUUUUGAGUUACAGACCUCGAUUUUGGGAGAUUUUGGAGGGGUUCUUCACAGUUUGGAUUGGUAAGUGUUCUUUAUCCAGAAUUGAUUAUAUCUCAUGAUUCUAUAAUUAUAUUUAUCAUUAAAUUAGCAAUUAUGAGUUAGAGAAAAUGAUAAUUUUUUUGAAAACUUUCAAAAAUAUAAAAUGAGGAUUUAGACGAUGAGAAUUGAAUAACUUUGGUAUGGUUGGACUCGCGUCGGAAUUGGUGCCUGUAUUGUAUCAAUUUUCUCGGGUUCCGAGGUACGGGCGCGAGGUUGACUUUUAGUUUCCAUUGAAAAUCGAAACUUUAUUACUCGGAUAUUUUUCCUAUUGUUUUUAUUUAUGAUAUUAAAUUAUGUUGGCUAUAUUUGAACCAUCCAGAAGUUGUUUCACUCGAGAAGGUCAUUUUAUAAAAUUUAUUUAGCUUCAUUGAGGUAAGUAUCUUGCCUAACUUGGUGCGCGGGAACUACCCUUAGGAUUUGAGUCGUUUAUGCUAAUUGUUUUAUGUGAAAGUCGUAUGCGCGAGAUGAUGAGUACGUACUCGGGCUUAUUCGUGAAAAAUGACUGUUUUAGAUUCUUAGGCCUUUUUCAUGUGUUUAUUUUGAAUUGUAAGCAUAUGUUAUAUUCUUUGUUCACCAUGUUCACUAUCACAUGCUUUAUUUGAAGUUUUCGUUACAUGUCACAUCCUUUACUUGUUGGGUUUGCUCUUGUAUGCUUUAUUUGUAGUUGUUACCGAUUUUAUCAUUGUGUGAUCUCUUUUGUUAUUGAGUUACUGUUGUAGAUGAUAUCCCUUUGUUGCCGGGUUAUUCUUCUCCAUUCAGACAUAGUAUUAGUUUGUGCCAUCCCUUUUUUAUUAUUAGCCUAAUUCAUACUCUAGAAUGUGGAGUAUGCCAUUUCAUGGAGAUACUUUCACUAAUGUGUUUAUUCUUAAACAAUUAAUUGGAAUUGGAGUUAUCGAAAGUCAUUAAUCUAUUUUAAAUUGAAGUCAUGUUUCAAAGGGGUGUUGUUCCUUGUGAAUUACUUUCCCACUCAUUUGGUUGUUACUAAGAUUUUAUACACAUUAUGUUUGAGUCUUGGACUAUUUGUUGUGGAAAUAUUAAUUGUUGUAUAUUUGGAAAGGUUGUGACCUAUGGUCACUUGGUACGAAUUGAUACGUCAUGCUGUUGUGAUGUUAGCAUUUGUGAAUUAUUGUGUGGGUUGGUUGUUGUCAUAAGAGUCUAAGGGUGGCAUUUCACUGUUUUUGUUAUGUGAGGCAUACAGGUGACAUCUCACUAUUGUAGAAUAUACGGAGUGAUAAGGGUAGCUAUCCUUUUAUUAUCUGGGUCGAGUGAGAAUAGGGGCUAUUAUAUGGAGUUAUAAGGGUGACUAAUGUAGUGAUAAGGGUGGAUAAGGAUAUUGUCAGGGAAAAGUGAUACGGGUGGCUAUCGGAGUCAUAAGGGUGGCAGUGUUAGAGAUAACGUGUGAUGACUUAGGAACAUUUUUUAGUGAUUUUCAUGUGAUUGUGUGCUUUUCCUAGUGUUUGUAAUACAACUUAUGUGACUUGUUUUAUUGAUUUGAUGAGCUACUUGAUGACUUUGAUAUUUUUUGUUGACUUAGGUUGCAAUAGUGUACUCACACAAGCAUACAUCGUAACAUGCCAUUUAUACUAGCUUAGGAGUAUGAAACUUGACAUUUAUUGAUCAUGUUCGUUUGCUCUUGUAUUAUAAAUCUUCAUGUUGCUAUUGAGCUUGUGAUCAUGCCGGGCAGAUUGUGAUUAUGAGCCUUUGAUCCUGUCGGGCAGAUUGUGAUUUUGAUCCUGUAACUAUAUCAGAUAGAUUGUGAUUGUGAGUAUGUGACAACGCUGGACAUACUGUGAAUGUGAGCUUGUGAUCAUGGUGGUGUGGAUUGAGAUAUUGGCACAUGAGUUGUUGUCACGACCCAAAAUCCCACUACAGACGUCGUUAUGACAUUUAGUCUCUAAGACUCGUUAAGCCUAUUACAAUAAUAAUACACGCCAUAUUUUUUAUAUUAGAAUUUAAUAAAAAUAUCGAAACUAAAAACGAAUAUAAUUACGCAACCUCCAAAUACUGGUAAUGUAGAAUCACAAACUCUACCUGAAUACAUGGAAAGACCUCAAAUCAAAAUGCAACAUUGUUCAAUGAUAAGUGACAAUGCAUCAUAAGGAAAAAACUCCAAUGGACUAUGACGACCAGGCAGCUGUAGAUCGAAUCCCUAUGAUCACUAUCUAACUCCACUCGAGUUUGAUUUUCUCCAAUACCUCUGUCUAAAAUAUGUAGAAGUGUAGUAUGAGUACAAUCAACCCCAUCACAUGUACUCAAUAAGUAUAUUGUAUAUCCUCGUCAAAGUAGUGAUAAGGAUUUUUAGUUAACAAAUAUUCACUAUACAACCUAUGCAAUAGACUUAGAGUAGAAAUAGUUAUAGAAAAUGACAUAUAAGGGUACAAUAAAACAACUAUGCGAGGCAGUAAAUGAUUAUUAGGAAAAAUUGCAGUAGUAGAUUCAUAAUUUUUCCUAAUGUGAACAAUGUAUUUAAGAUAUCAAAUCGAAUGGCAUGAUAACACCUUCGAGCAUUUAUCUCAUUCUAACUCAAUCUAUUUUUGUAGAUCAAAUCAAUUGGUGCGGUAACACCCUUCGUGUAUUUAUCUCUUUCUCACCAUGCAUAUAUAUAACACUAUCAACUAGGUGGGAGAAAUGCAAAUAACAAUAAUUAUAAAGUGGAAAGUAGACAAGUUGAAAUAAAGAAUAAGGCAUUGCAUACUGCAAGGCAGUAAAUGAUUAUUAGGAAAAAUUGCAGUAGUAGAUUCAUAAUUGUUCCUGGUGUGAAAAAUGUAUUCAAGAUAUCAAAUCGAAUGGCAUGAUAACACCUUCGAGCAUUUAUCUCAUUCUCACUAAAUAAAUAUUUGUAGAUCAAAUCAAUUAGUGCGGUAACACCCAUUGUGUAUUUAUCUCUUUCUCACCAUGCAUACAUAUAACACUAUAAACUAGGUGGGAGGAAUGCCAAUAACAAUAAUUAUAAAGUGGAAAGUACACAAGUAGAAAUAAAGAAUAAGACAGUGCAUAUGGACAAUGGUAACAGACUAGGUUGAAGGCAUAGCAAUUAUGACAACAAUUAAGAAACAAGAAUAUAAAUUUCACUAACUAGCAUGGUGGAAGGCUUAAUGCAAACAUGAUAACAAGUACAAAAUCAUAAUAUUUGCAAAUUAAACAGAUAGAAAACCUGAAUGUAUACACUACGAAAAAAUAUCACAAUAUAUAUAUGACUCUCGUCCUCUCUUACGUAGAAACGCCCUUCGUGUCAUGAACAUAUAUAAUAUAAAAUAUGAUAAUGUAACUGAAAUUGCACUACAUCACCCUUCGUACUUUUACUCUCAUCCUAACAUAAUAAUGUUCAUGAGGACAUAGUAAUAUAAUUUAGAUGGAACAGCAUCACCCUUUGUGUUUGCACUCUCCUCACAUAAUAAUAAAUGCGAAAUGACACGAAAUAAUUCUUCGUACUUUUACUCUCAUCGAACAUGAUAGUAUAAAUAAAAUGGCAUGGUAUUAUCAUUCGGGCAUAAGAUAUAAUAUGAAUGGCACGACAUCACCCUUCGUGUGUUCCACUCCCCCUCUCAUGAUAGUGUAUAUGAAAUGGCACGGAAUUUUUCGUUCUUUUCACUCUUCCUUACCAAGAAUAUGUAUAUCAUCAACAAGCAAAGUAAGAAGGGCAAAUAAUAUCAAGUAGAGUAUUUAAAUGAAUAUUUGAAUUGAACAUCAAUAACAGCUCUCAAGUCAAUAAUAAUUCAAUAAAUCACAAGUAAUUUAUUGUUCAAGUAUUUCGACAAGUCUCAAAACUAACCUUCAACUCAAGUAUAGAAUUCAAAAUUUCAAGAAUAACGACUGUAGCGAUGCAUUUAUAUAGACACUUACCUCAUUCCUCAUCGGGUAUAACAAUCCAAUAUGGCUUUUCCUUUAAAAUUCUCAACAAAAUGAUCAAAACUUUAGAAAGUAUAAUAAUGACAAAAUUUAAAACAUCAAUAAUUUCAUAAACAUUCCGUCAUUGUUUCUACAUUGACUUUCGAAUCCAUAGAAAUCUAAAAAUCAAAGAAAACAUGAAACAAGAAUACAUAAUUCUACAAACCACAAUUAAUCGUAUAAUUCACCCAUGAACAUGUUUAACCCUGGAACAUGCACAUAUCUUGUCAUCUCAUAUAUGUAUCACCCCCUCCCACAUGUAUCAAUCAACACCAAUUAGUACGAAAAACUCUCUCAACUACACUAGUGUGAUGACCCAAAGGGUCAUCUUUAGUAUUAGAACUCGAAUCUGUGUUCCAGGACUUUAAAAACAUCAUUUUAUCUUUCCUCGAUUUGCAUGGGCAGUCGGACGUGAUUCCGGAAAGCUUUUAUUUGAAAAAUUCAUGAAAUAAUAAAUUUGGACUAAAAGUUAAUUUUUGUUGAUUUCAGUCAACAUUUUGGAUAAACAGACCGGACCUAUGAUUUUACGAUAUCGGUAGGUUCGUACUAAAAUAUGGAACCUAGGCGCACGCCAUGAAUCGGAUUUAAGGCCCGAAAUAUGAAUUUUUUGAUGAAAAUUGUAAAAUCAAAAAUCUAAAGAAUUAAAGAAUUAAAGAAUUAAAAGGAAUUUAAAAUUUCCAUAACUUUUAGCUGGACAAAAAUAACCAAAACUCUCUUUGGCGCUUUUAAUUGCUUAAUCAACUAGACACAUAGACGUAGACAAAAAUGAAUAUUGAAUAGGGAAAUUAAUCAAUUCUACUAGAAUUUGAUUGGAAGAAGUUCGAAAAAAAGGGAGUGAAAUUACGGAAUCUUGUCUGUGGUCGGUGAGAAUCACGAGCCAUUAAUAGAGAACCAUAUCAUCUCGACAAAUGCCGACGGUACUGGUUGACUCACUGGAAAGCUGACAAACUUUCAGAAAUUUGAGCUUCACUCAAAUCCUCUGAUUGAGUUUUUGCACAUCCGUCUAGAAAUUAUUAUUUUUGACAAUUUUAAAUCAUUUUCUUUUGCUAAGGUUCCUGAUCUGGAGAUUAUUCUUUAGGAUCAUUCAUCAUCAAGAUUCAAGAAUCCCAAGACUUUGACAGCAAGAAGAAUUAACUACAAGAGAAUCGUGAAAUUGACAAAUCGUCGAAACUUUCAUAUACACGGGUUUGGGAGCAGCAACAUUUAGAGAAUUUGGAAGUCCAGACAUUCCCGACUGUGAUCUAGGUUCUAUCUUUCUUGAAUUGUAUUUGCACACAUAUAUUUACUGUUGUCUUGCCAGCUAUUUUGAUUGGAUUGAUUGUUUUUUUUAAUCUUCUCUACUAGUAUUUUAAGAUUAAGGUUUCAUCUAUUCAUUUUAAUUCUAUGUUUCCAUAGAGAUAGAAUCGUAGACGUGGUUGUUAUUGGUUCUUAGUAGUACUAUUUACCUAAUACCUUUUGCUUAUAGUUGCGGUAGUGAACGGGUUUGGGAGCAGCAACAUUUAGAGAAUUUGGAAGUCCAGACAUCCCCGACUGUGAUCUAGGUUCUAUCUUUCUUGAAUUGUAUUUGCACACAUAUAUUUACUGUUGCCUUGCCAGCUAUUUUGAUUGGAUUGAUUGUUUUUUUUUAUCUUCUCUACUAGUAUUUUAUGAUUAAGGUUUCAUCUAUUCAUUUUAAUUCUAUGUUUCCAUAGAGAUAGAAUCGUAGACGUGGUUGUUAUUGGUUCUUAGUAGUACUAUUUACCUAAUACCUUUUGCUUAUAGUUGCGGUAGCGAACGAUGUGAAAGUAAGGUAAUGUCCUCGGGUAGGGCUGGGGGUGGGGUCCCGGGGUGGGAAGGGGGUAUGAAAGCAUCUUGACUGAGAUUUGGGUCUUGGAACAUUGGUACAUUAAUGGGGAAGUCUAUAGAGUUAGGUAAGAUUCUUCAGAAGAGGAAUAUUUCAAUAGCGUGUGUUCAGGAGACUAGAUGGAAUGGUACUAGCGCACGAGACGUAGACGGGUUUAAACUAUGGUACUCAAGGAGCGUUGGUGUAAAAAUGGGGUUGGCAUUUUAGUUGAUAGGGAUCUCAGGGAGCUCGUGGUUGAGGUUAUGAGGGUAAGUGAUAGGUUGAUGAGUAUUAAGCUGGUAGUUGUAGGUUUACUAUAAAUGUUAUUAGUGCAUAUGCUCCUCAGGUAGGUUUGGACCAGGAGGUCAAGAAGCAAUUCUGGGAGAAUUUGGAUGAGAUGGUGUAUAGUAUCUCGCACACAGAGAAGUUAUUUAUUGGUUGAGAUUUCAAUGGUCAAAUUGGGGUUAGUUCUAGGGGUUAUAAUGAUAUACAUGGCGGGUAUGGUUUUGGGGAUAGAAAUGAGGGAGGUAAUUCUCUAUUGGAUUUUUCUAGAGCUUUUGACUUGGUUAUAGCUAACUCGAGUUUUCCGAGCAGGAAAAGAACUAGGUCACUUUUUGUAGUUCAAUGGGCAAGACCCAGAUUGAUUAUCUUCUCUGCAUGAAAUGCAAUAAAUGUUUGUGCACUAACUGCAAGGUCAUCCCAAGUGAGGACCUCACGACUCUUCAUAGGCUCCUAGUUAUCGACCAGGAGAUUAAAAUGAGUAGGAGGAAGAGGGCGGGGCGCAGGGAACCUAAUAUCAAGUGGGGUAACUUCACCAAGGACAAAUCUCAAGAGUUAGGGGAGAAGUUGUUGGCAAUGAGGGCCUGGAUGAGAAGAGGGGAUAUAUCUAGUAUGUGGUUUACGGCCGCGAAUUGCAUUAAGGUAGUUGCUAGAGAGGUCUUAGGGGUCACGAAGGGCUCUCCUAGGUGUCAUAAAGGGGACUGGAGGUUGAAUGGAGAGUUCAAGGAAAAGAGGAAGCUAAAAAGGUUGCUUAUUUGAAGGUAGUGAAGAUCACAAACGAGGAGGAAAAAAGGACUUAUCGGGAAUGUUACAGAAAGGCAAAGAAAGAGGCGAAGUUAGUAGUUACGACGGCUAAGAACACGACAUUUGCUUAUUUGUACGAGGAGCUCGAGGUCAAAGUAGGGGACAAGAGGUUGUACCAGUUAGCAAAGGUGGGGGAGAGGAAAGCCCGGGACAUACACCAAGUCAAGUGCAUCACGGACGAGGAUGGCAAAAUGUUGAUAGACGAGGAUCUUUUUAGGAGAAGAUGGCAGUUAUACUUCCAUAAAUUGUUGAAUGGGGUGGGGGAUAGACUCAUUUUGCUGAAAGAGUUGGAGCACUUCGAGAGUCAGUGGGAUUUUAGGGUAUUGUAGGUGGAUUAUGGAAGAGGAGGUGGAAGGGGCGAUGUAUACGAUGUCCAGGGGCAGAGCUAUUGGGCCAAACAAAAUUUCGAUGAAAUAUUAGAAAAGCAUAGGGCGAGCAGGUUUGGAGUGGCUCACUGAGCUAUUUAAUGUUAUUUUUAAGAUAAAGAAAAUUCCCGAAGAGUGGAAGUAGAGUACGAUGGUUUCGUUUUACAAUAACAAGGGUGAUAUCUAAAAUUACAAUAAUUAUACGGUUAUCCAAUUGUUCAGUCCCACUAUGAAGGUUUAGGAGAGGGUUGUGGAGGCAAGGGUGAGGAGGUACAUGUCUAAUUUUGAGAAUUAGUUUGGAUUCAUGCCGGGGCAUUCGACUACAGAAGUGAUUCAUCUAGUAAGGAGAUUAGUGGAGAUUUUCAUAUAGUGUUUAUAUUCCUUAAGAAAACAUACAAUAAAGUACUAAGGGAGGUCCUACUAAGCUGUUUGGAGGUUAGUGGCAUUCAAGUAGUGUACACUAGGGUUAUUAAGGAUAUGUACGAUCAAGCUAAGUCUCGGGUGAGGACAAUGGGAGAUGACUCGGAGCAUUUCUCUGUGGUGAUGGGGUUGCACCAGGGAUCGGCUCUUAGCCCAUUUUUAUUUUCUUUGGCGGUGGAUGUACUAUCGCAAAACAUCCAAUGGGAGGUGCCUUGGUUCAUACUAUCUACCAAUGAUAUAGUGUUGAUUGAUGAAACGCGUAGCGGAGUUCACGCGGGGUUAGAUGUUUGGAGACAAACCUUUGAGUCUAAGUGUCUCAAACUAAGUAUAACCAAGAUAGAAUACUUGGAAUGAAAAUUCGGUGACGUGGCCCAUGAUGCAGAUGUAGGGUUAAGCUUCAUGCUCAAGUUAUCCUCUAGAGAGCGAUUAUUAAGUAUCUCGGGUCUAUUAUCCAAGGUAACGAGGAAAUUGACGAAGAUGUCUCCCAUCAUAUCAGAGCGGGAUGGAUGAAGUGGAGGCUUGCUUCUGGUGUUUAAUAUGAUAGGAAUGUGCCGCUAAGACAUAAGGGUAAGUUUUAUCGAGGGUGGUUUGACUGGCUAUGCUAAAUGUGGUUGAGUGUUGGCCAGUGAAGAACUCCCACCUGUAGAAGAUGAGAGUAGCAGAGAUGAUGAUGUUUAGAUGGAUGUGUGGGUGUACCAGGAGAGAUAAGAUUAAGAAUGAAUCUAUCUGAGACAGAGUGGGAGUAGCCUCUAUGGACGACAAAAUGCAGGAGUUGAGGCUGAGAUUAUUCGGACAUGUUAAGAGAAGAAGCAUUGAUGCUCCUAUUAGGAGGUAUGAGAGGUUGGUUAUGGAGAGUUUGAGUAGAGGUCGAGGUAGGCCUAAGAAGUACUGGGAAGAGGUGAUUAGAUAUGAUAUGGCGCUGCUUUAGCUCACUGAGGACAUGACCCUUUAUAAGACGGUAUGGAGGUCGAGGAUUAAGGUACAAGGUUAGUAGGUAGUUUAUAGUUGUUCAUCGAUAGUCUUAGUAGCAUGAAUGUCCCUUCAUAUUCUUAUAUUUCUACUAUGUUAUGUGGUUGUGUUUGCCUCAGGCAUUGUAUUCCCUUCUGCUAUUAUUUGGUAGUACUUAUCCCCCCCCCCCCCCCAAUUUAGAGAAGAAGCAUUGAUGCUCCUAUUAGGAGGUAUGAGAGGUUGGUUAUGGAGAGUUUGAGUAGAGGUCGAGGUAGGCCUAAGAAGUACUGGGAAGAGGUGAUUAGAUAUGAUAUGGCGCUGCUUUAGCUCACUGAGGACAUGACCCUUUAUAAGACGGUAUGGAGGUCGAGGAUUAAGGUACAAGGUUAGUAGGUAGUUUAUAGUUGUUCAUCGAUAGUCUUAGUAGCAUGAAUGUCCCUUCAUAUUCUUAUAUUUCUACUAUGUUAUGUGGUUGUGUUUGCCUCAGGCAUUGUAUUCCCUUCUGCUAUUAUUUGGUAGUACUUAUCCCCCCCCCCCUCCAAUUUUCAUUUCUCUUCCUUCCUUACUUUCUACUUCUUCUUCGUGUCCUUCCUAAGCCAAGUGUCUAUUGGAAUGCCCUCUCUAGAUGCAUUACGUGAGGGUAAGGUCUGUGUACAGACUACCCUCCAUCGAUUGGGAUUAAACUGGGUUUUUUGUUGUUGUUGCUACUUUUGGUGGUAGUGGGAUUGGGUUGCGCUCCGCAAUAGGAAUAAUAAGGGUGGACAGGUGGGAUCGGCUUGCACGCUGUAACAAGAGUAAUAAGGGUGAAUGUUCAUUAUGUUAAUUAUGAUAUAGUGGGAUCGGGAUGCACGGCGCGUCAUUUUAUUGUUUAUAUAUUCUUCCUCUACUACGAUUUUAUUCUAUACUAUAAUAACCCUCUAAAGGAUUGGUUAUAGCUGAGAACUGGCAAGAUAAUUGAGUUUUGUAUUUAUUUUACUACAAGUUACUAUUCCAUUUCAUUCUGUAAUUCCUUCUGAUUUAUUAUAAACUGGAUGCAAGUUAUAUUGCAAAAGUCCCGCCUUAGCCUCGUCACUACCUUGUCGAGGUUAGGCUCGACAUUUACCAGUACAUGGGAUUGGUUGUACUGAUACUGCACUCUAUUCUUUCAGUGUAGAUUUUGGAGUUGGUCGUGGCUGAUCGAGAGGUCAGUUGCAGGCAUUCAUCUAUGAGACCCAAGGUAAUCAUACAAGCGUCCGCAGGCCCUGACGUCCCCUCCUAUGCUCUACAUUCCUGUUUUAUUUUUCUUUCGAGAAAGAUGUACUUUUCUUUCAAAGCAAUACUUGUAGAUAUUCGUAGAAUGUUUGUGGGUUGUGACACCAGUUUUUGG